rnacentral:miRNA from 1 species
AAAGCACAAACACACGCCGCGUAUGUAUGUAUGUAUGUAUGUAUGUGUAUAUAUAUAUAUAUAUAUAUAUAUAUAUAAAUAUAUAUAUAUAUACACACACAUACAUACACUGCUGUGUGUGUGUGUGUG